UACGGGGGGAGCAAGCGUUGUUCGGAUUUACUGGGCGUAAAGGGCGCGUAGGCGGCCACCGCAAGUCGACUGUGAAAUCUCCGGGCUUAACUCGGAAAGGUCAGCCGAUACUGCGGGGCUAGAGUGCAGAAGGGGCAACUGGAAUUCUCGGUGUAGCGGUGAAAUGCGUAGAUAUCGGGAGGAACACCAGUGGCGAAGGCGGUUGCCUGGAGCUUUGCUGACGCUGAUGCGCGAAAGCGUGGGGAGCGAUCCGG
rnacentral:rRNA from 1 species